CACUGAUCAUCCUAACACGCAUCUUGCCAUUCUUCCCCGUUAUCACGCCUCAUGUCGGGUUGAUUGAUCGAAGUGUCGAAGUAGUACACAGUGAGCAACGAGACAUGCAACCGGAUUUAUCAACGUUGGCUAUUUCAUAUAGUGGUCAAUUAAAGAACAAAAAACCUCAAUUCCUGAACAUGAAUUCCAUCUGGUGACGAGGAAACCUGUAACUAAAACAGCUCCUCGUGACAGAGAAGACCGCAAGGAACGACGUAAUAUCCAAGAAACCGAGGAAGAACCUCGUGAAAGGAAAGGCGAGCGUAAAAGGGAUCGGCUGCCAGAGGAUGUUUGAUGGAUGUCGAACGUCGAAAGGAGUAUGAACGAGAAAAAGUUAAUUUAACAGUAUGAUCCCCCAAGGCAUGGAAACGGAAGUCCCUCUGAUGGAAACGCUGAUAGACGAGGACACAACAGAUUAUUAUUAUAAAAAAAAAUUGUAAAUCUUUCUAAUUAAAUAUUACCUUUUUCCUUUUGUAUAGCUCUCUCGCUCUCGUAGCUUACCUCUUUCACGAGAAGCAUCGGAUCGCUCAUUUCACCCGCGCAGAUAGAACAGAACGAGCUCCUUAUUAGAUUAUUAUUAUCCUUAUUAUUAUUAUUAGAUUAUAUUCCUUCAAUUAUUAAAAUAAAAUUUGAUUAACCU